rnacentral:rRNA from 1 species
CCUACGGGAGGCAGCAGUGGGGAAUAUUGGGCAAUGGAGGAAACUCUGACCCAGCGACGCCGCGUGAGGGAUGAAGGCCUUCGGGUUGUAAACCUCUUUCAGUAGGGAAGAAGCGAAAGUGACGGUACCUACAGAAGAAGCACCGGCUAACUAUGUGCCAGCAGCCGCGGUAAUACAUAGGGUGCAAGCGUUGUCCGGAAUUAUUGGGCGUAAAGAGCUCGUAGGUGGUUCGAUACGUCGGAUGUGAAAAUCAGGGGCUCAACCCCUGACCUGCAUCCGAUACGGUCGAGCUAGAGUUUGGUAGGGGAGACUGGAAUUCCUGGUGUAGCGGUGGAAUGCGCAGAUAUCAGGAGGAACACCGAUGGCGAAGGCAGGUCUCUGGGCCAAUACUGACACUGAGGAGCGAAAGCGUGGGGAGCGAACAGGAUUAGAUACCCUGGUAGUCCACGCCGUAAACGGUGGGCGCUAGUUGUGCGAACCUUCCACGGUUUGUGCGACGCAGCUAACGCAUUAAGCGCCCCGCCUGGGGAGUACGAUCGCAAGAAUUAAAACUACAAAUGAAUUGACGGCUGAGACGNGCGACGACGACGACGAGGAGGAGG